rnacentral:misc_RNA from 1 species
GCGAGGGAGAGAGAGAGAGAAGAAAGACAAACUUGGAUAUUGGCUGUUAAUUCUACACCUGCAGCAAAUGGGUGUGCAUAAGAGCUGGCUUUGAUUUGUUAAUUCAUUGGCAUUUUGUAAUUUGGUUUUCCCCAAUCUUGUUUAACUGUUCAUUCCACACAUCUGUAUGCUGUCUGUCUGUAAACUGAUGCAGAACAAGUUAACCUUAGUUUUAUCCAAUUCAUGAGUGUCU